rnacentral:rRNA from 1 species
UACGGAGGAUCCGAGCGUUGUCCGGAUUUAUUGGGCGUAAAGCGAGCGCAGGUGGUUUAUUAAGUCUGGUGUAAAAGGCAGUGGCUCAACCAUUGUAUGCAUUGGAAACUGGUAGACUUGAGUGCAGGAGAGGAGAGUGGAAUUCCAUGUGUAGUGGUGAAAUGCGUAGAUAUAUGGAAGAACACCAGUGGCGAAAGCGGCUCUCUGGUCUGUAACUGACGCUGAGGUUCGAAAGCGUGGGUAGCAAACAGG